AAACUUUUGAGAUGUUAUCUCAUCCAAAAUAAUGACAUUCAAAUUAUCAGAGAGAAUUAAAUUUAAUGGUAUGAAACUGCCUUAUGACCAGUGUGGUAUUGUGAAAACUAAGCUUUAUAAUACUGUAUCUUUUCCCCUUGAAAGUGAUGUACAUUGGGUUGGGGAUUUAGCUCAGUGGUUCCGCCGCCUGCUGCGAAAGCGCCAGGUCCCGAGUUUGAUCCCCAGUACAAAAACAAGAAAGUGACGUACAUUCAUUCAAUUUGCUACAUUAAAGGAAUCACAUAUUCAUGAGAAUGACUAAUCCUGAAGAUAUAAAUCUACCAUUUUUUCCUUUAUUCUUAUUCAGGGCAAAGAUAAAGUAGGGUCAGAUUAGUUGAAAAUGGUUAUUUUGGUAGGAUAAAAUUAGUUCUAAUUUUAAUGUCUUCUAAGUGUAGCAUGGCUUAUUUAUUUUCAUUUUCACAUAUUUUAUUUACCAAGGAUUCCAUAAUGAGUGUGUUUUCUUUUUUGGGUGUGUUAAAUAAACAUAUGACAUGCCCAUAAUCCCAACAACUCAGGAGGCUGAAGCAGAAGAAUUGCUGGGGCCUAAGUGUUCCAAGCCAGCUUGGGUGAUGUAGUGAGACCCUGUCUCUAAAUAAUAAAUAAACUUAUUAGAAAGUUUCCCAAAAGAGUAUGACAGACUUUCCCAAAUUUAACAUGAUUGUGAUAACUGAUGGUUUUUAGUGGGGAGGGAAUGCACGUUGUUCCUUUAAUUUGAAGAGGUCACAAACAUAACUUGUUAUUCUUGUUUCUAAGGAAAAAGCCUGACAUCAAGGUAGCCACAUGUAGGAAAUAGGAGAAGAAAGUGCUCUAAGAAUAUAAUGCUGACAGUGCUUGAGUUUUGAGAUGAGUAUUAUAUGCAUAAUAUAUUUCCCUUACUAUUUGAGGAAAAUAGACAUAAAUGAUUUCAGAGCAUCUGGUUUUUUAUUAAUUCACAGCGUUUCCCCUGUACAGAUUCAGUACAGUACCUGCUUGCAUCAUUCUUCUCAAAACAGUAACUCAAGAGCAUGUGGAUCCUGGGAACAAAAGGUAUGGUAUUGCUAGAAAGCCACGUGAAACAUUCAGUUAAAAUUACAACCAUCAUGGUUUGAGCUAAGCAGAUGCAUUGAGCUACAUUUUCUUCUGAGAGCAAGUCCCACUAUGAGAAAUGUACCAGGCCCUGUUAAAAACUAUUUGAAUAGCCGGGGAUUUAGCUUAGUGGUUUCGCCACCUGCUGUGUAAGCGCAAGGACCUGAGUUCGAUCCCUGGUAUCAAAAAAAACCUUUGAAUAAUUAUCGUAGAAAAAAACAAAGUUCUUUAUGGCUGUAUAUGGAUAUCAUUGUCCAUAUGAGCAAGUACUUAUAGCAAGGGGAAAAGUAUUCUUUCCAGCUUCUUUGUUCUGAGAAUUUUGAACUUACUGCAAAGAAGUCCCUACACUCUUCUACCCUAGAGCUAAUGGACUUCUUAAGAUUUCCUUGGGAAAGUUUUCUUACCACUUUGUGGAUAUUAUAUUGCAUCAGCACCUCGAGUGGAUAGUAAAAGAGCUGAAAGCAAUUCCUGGAGUCUGCCUGUUCCCCCUGCAAUUGGCCAAGGUAAAUCUGAAGUCACUGUGAAAUGAAUAAAUAGAAAAGAUAUUUGAAGCAUCAUGUCACUUAAGAAAGCCAACAAGGGAUAAUGGUUUCUUUCCUUUUUUUUUUUUUGGUAUCGGAGAUCGAACUCAGGACCUUGCACUUAUGAGGCUGGUAGUGGAACCACUGAGCUAAAUCCCCGGCCCUGGUUUCUUUUUUUGACAAAGAACAAGAAAAACAUUUUUUUACUCUGACAGUACUAGUUUAAAAAUCUUUUAAAACGCUAUUGAGCCACAUUAGUCAUUAAGGAAAUGCAAAUUAAAACUACAAUGAGGUCUUUAUAGUAGUAUAAACAACAAAAAUUUAAAAAUAGACCAUACUAAGUAUGAGGGUGUGCAGCAAUAGGGGCUAUAGGUGGGAGGGUAAAUUGCCUUAAUAAGUUUGGAAAAUGUUUGACAAUGUCUUAAAGUUCAACGUAUAUAUAACCCUCAACUUAGCAAUUCCACCUCUAACCAAAUAUCAAACAGUGAUGUGUACACAUAUUUAUCAAAAGACAUACAGAAUAUUCUUAGAGUUAUUCAUAAUACUUUCAUAUUGAAAACAGCUCCAAUUUCCAUGAUCAGAACAGUUACUUGGAAAGGGCUGCUCCCUGUAGCAAGGAAGUGAGCUUUUUCUUCAUGUAAUAGUUUGAAGGAACCUUACACGCAUCCUGAACAAAAGGAACAAGGCAACAAAAAAAGAAAAUGUGCUACUUGACUUCCUCUUAAGUAAGAAAUCAAAAACACCUCUGGGAAGAAUGAAAUAGGGAAAUACAUUCACAAGGAGGGCGAUGUUAUGAUGUGCUAGUAAUGUUCUUUCUUGACCAGAAUGGUGAUGAUCUUGUAAUAUUUUUUGAGCUCUACUUUUGUGGCUUAUGCAUUUCAAAUAUUUGUCUUACACCUCCACAGUUAAAGUUUUUGUUUCUUAAUGAGUAAAGCUAAAUCAGAAUGAUGCUGGUAGAACAGACAGUUGUGCAAUGUGAGAGAAUAGCAAUCUCCUGAAGCUUUUAGGAGAAAAGGCCUUCAUUCUUCCCAUGCAUAGAUGGCAAGGAGGGUUGGAAAAUACCAGCUCUACUCUGCACUGUGGUGCAACAGGGCAUUAUAAUGACAAGGAGGCAGGAAAAGAGAAAUGCUAAAUUAAAAUUUGAAUGAGAAGCAAUAAACAAUCUUGGCACUAAAAUCUAAUCCAUUAUGAAUAGUGAAUGUUAAAUUGCUUUUUGGAAUCCAGUGGGUUCUCAUGAGCCCACAAAGGGGAAGUGAAAGGGAUUAUCCCUCAUCACCUAGAUCAGAACUGCCUUCAUCACUGUACAUAUUGUGCUAUUAAUAAGCUUUCCUUGAAGGAAUUCUGCAGCUUAACAAUAAAAGGCACCAGAGCAAAUGAUAAGCUUAAUAAAGCAACCUGGGUUGAAUACAGAGUGUAACCCUCACCCUCCACCACAGGGCUGCUAUGUAAUGAAGACAUGGAAGGGAUACUGGUGAGUCAAACACAAUGUUUAAAACUGCUUCUUAGUAGCUAAAUUUAUUGAGCCCUUACUGUUUAUUUACCAGGUACUGGCUAGUUGUUUUACAUACAUCUCAAAGCCCUCUGAGGUAAGUACUUCUUUUUAAAUUUAAUUUAAUUUAAUUUUAGCGAUGCUGGGGAUCAAACCUCACAUAUGCUAGACAAGUACUAUAAAACUGGGCUACAGUCCUAUCCUAGAAGUAAUGUUUUAUAAACAAGUAGAGAUAAAGUAGAUGAAGUAACGUUUUCCCCAGGGUCACAGUUGCCAUUUGCGGAAUGAUACUAAAUAUUAGCAGCUAUAAGGAAGAUUACAGAAACACCACACACUGCAGAGUGGUUUGGUAGUUCUUUGGGAAAGUAUUAUUUUUGUUUUUGGCAACUACAGCAUUUGACUGGGCACCAACAUGGUGGCAUUGGAUAAAAGAAAAUGCCCCAGCAGUAAGUACACUGGUGGGAACCCCUAUCCCACCCCUACCCCCAGCCCACCCCACCUGCAACCUGCUGGCAACUGAAACUUCCAAGAAAGUGCUCCCUCUAUCUGUGAGUUGGAAAAACAUCACUACAAGCCCUGUACCAUGAGGCUUCCAGAGAUUUGUGCUUACCAGAAAUCAACCAAGAUUCUCAUUUGGAAGCUGCCUUUCAGAGGCUGGUGAGAGAGAUUACCCAGGAUUUCAAAACUGACUUGAGGUUUCAGAGUGCAGCCAUUGGGGUCUUCAGGAGCCUAGUGAAUAAAGCCUUGUGGCUUUAUUUGGAGAUACUAAUCUGUGUGCCAUCCACACCACGAGAGUCACCUUCAUGCCCAAAGACAUCCAGUUGGCUCACUGGAUACGGGGAGAGAAAGCUUAAGUAAAGACAAUUUUUAUGGAAUUUUGUAUGUAGUAAAUUCUGUAAAAUACUUUGGUUUAAUUGGUGACUUUUUGUAAGAAAUUGUUUAUAAUAUGUUAUAUUUGUACUGAAGUCAUUCUGUCUUUCUCUUGGAUGAAUGGGGAGAGUGACUGUUCCAGACCUCGGUGAUGUGAGCACUGUUGCUCAGGAGUGACAAGGUGCUAAUCUGCAGAAGGAUGGUUGACAGUUCUUGCUUCUCAUGAUGCAUGUUUCUGUAUGUUAAUGACUUGUUGGGUAGCUAUUAAGGUAGUAGAACUGAUAAAUGUGUGUACAGGGUUCUUCUGCAAUAAAACACGUUAUGAUUUGAUCCAAGUGUUUAACAACUGGGGCUGGUAAGUCUCACCAUACAUUACUGUGAGGGAAUGUGGACUGCUUCAAGGGUGAACAUACAAGUCUUAACCAUGGUGUAACUUUCCUAGGAAAAGGUAAUCUUGGCAGCUGUAAGAAUAUACCAUAUGCAUUUAUAGUAACUAUUCUAUAUAUGGUCAUGUCAACAUUUUUAAAUGUUUUACAUUCGCUAAUGAAAACAAAAAGAAACACACACACACCAAUUGAAUGUUAUGCAACAACAGAUCCUUCCAAAACUAUGGGAUACCAUGGGAAUAAUGCUGACUGUUUAGUGAAAGCAAGCAGUAUACCAAAUCACAUAUAGUGGUUGAAAAUUUGUUUAAGCCAGAGUGAGUUUGAAAAAGAAGCCAUAUGUGUAUUUGCUUUUUAAACCCAUGUCUUUUUAUUAGCCUGAUUUUUUAAAUUGAUUUUUAUUUUAUGAUUUUGUUGUUUUCUGCAGUCCUAGUACUGCCUGAUUUACAAUCCACAUACAAAUCAUUAACAUUUAAAUGAUAGGUAAUGUUAAUAAUAGGUGAAGUAUUAAAAUUUUUACCCUUUAAAGUAUUGCUGGAGAGAUGAUUUUAUUCCAUUGCAUGACCUCUUGAGAGAGUGAAGUGGGAGGAGAAGAUGAGAGAAGGAUAACUGAGAGGAAGUGAAAGCAACAUAAGAUGGCCGGAUGAGGAUGACUCUGGGGUCAACACACUGCUUCUUUUUUUUAACCUUGUUUUUACAAGUCUAUUCAACACAAAAUAUUGAGCAACUAUGUACAGUAUGUCAAAGACACAAUAAUGAGAAGUUAAAAAUAGCUUCCGAUCUUUAUGUAGCUUAAUAUAGUGUACUUUGGAGAAACAGUGUGUUGGAGAGAGUGGGUCAGCUUCCACUUGAGUGAGGCAGGCUGGCUCCUCCUAUACUUGUCAGUUUUAAAGAAUUCACCAAAAUGAAAGAAUACCACUUUUACUAUCAACCUUAAUUUUCCCGUACCUAAUUCUUUUUAUGUAAGAUUCAGUAAUCGACGACUUUUCAGUACUGGGGAUUGGCCUCAGAGGUCCAUGCAUGUUAGGCAAGCAAGCACUCUACCACUGAACUAUAUCCUCGGCUGUUUUAAAGUUUUAUUUUGAGAUGAUCUCACUAAGUUGCCCAAGUUGGACUCAAACUUGUGAUCCUCCUGCCUCAGCCUCCCAAGUAGCCAGGCUUACAGGCAUACACCACCAUGCCCAGUAAGAUUCCGUAAACUGACAAAUGCAUUCAUUCAUGAAACCCACUGUUGGAGACUAUUUCAUAGGUCCCUGUUUCUGACUGUGUUACAAACAAAGUUAAAAAUCUCUUCAAAGAUGUUUAAUAAGGCACAGUCUAGAAAGACAGGAUUUCUUAGAGCAAAAGGUAUACUGUUCAGUAUAAUCAAGAUAAUUUCUCCCUGUAGGGCAAAGAGCAUGCAGACCUACUGCCCUUUAUAAAAGAUUUAGAUUCUUGUGCCAGGAAUGGUGACACAUGCAUGUAAUCCCAGUGCUCUGGGAGACAGGCAGGGAGAGUGAGAGCUCCAUGGCAACUCAGUGAAACUCUGGCUCAAAUUUAAUAACUAAUAAAAUUUUGUUAUAGUUUAAAACAUGAAUUAGCCUUGGCACUUUAAUUUUAAAUGUUAUGUCCAUGGUUGUAUUUAAAAAUCAGACACUUGGUCGGGGGGAUAAUACCAGCAUAUUGCUGAUAGACAGUAGGCAUCAUUUAUGGUCAGAAGUCUUUGAACCUCUGUUUUUCAUUUUUGAUUAAUCAAAGCAUUCUUGGCAA
ensembl:lncRNA